UACGGAGGGUGCAAGCGUUGUCCGGAUUUAUUGGGUUUAAAGGGUGCGUAGGCGGCCCUGUAAGUCAGUGGUGAAAUACUGCAGCUUAACUGUAGCAUUGCCAUUGAUACUGUAGGGCUUGAGUACAGAUGAGGUAGGCGGAAUUGAUGGUGUAGCGGUGAAAUGCAUAGAUACCAUCAAGAACACCGAUUGCGAAGGCAGCUUACUAAGCUGUAACUGACGCUGAGGCACGAAAGCGUGGGGAUCGAACAGG
rnacentral:rRNA from 1 species